rnacentral:rRNA from 1 species
UGUAAAACGACGGCCAGUGGAAUUUGUAAAUACGACUCACUAUAGGGCGGAAUUGAAUUUUAGCGGCGGCGAAUUCGCCCUUAGAGUUUGAUCAUGGCUCAGAACGUACGCUGGCGGCACGCCUAACACAUGCAAGUCGAACGAAGUAGCAAUACUUAGUGGCAGACGGGUGAGUAACAUGUAGGUAUCUGCCCUUUGGCCUGGAAUAACACGAGGAAACUUGUGCUAAUACCGGAUAAGUCUUUACAGAGAAAGCUUUAUGCACCAUUGGAUGAGCCUGCACUUGAUUAGUUUGUUGGUAGGGUAAUGGCCUACCAAGACUGUGAUCAAUAGCUGAUUUGAGAGGAUGAUCAGCCACAUUGGGACUGAGACACGGCCCAAACUCCUACGGGAGGCAGCAGUGGGGAAUCUUGCACAAUGGAGGAAACUCUGAUGCAGCGAUGCCGCGUGAGUGAAGAAGGCCUUUGGGUUGUAAAGCUCUUUCGUCGGGGAAGAAAAUGACUGUACCCGAAUAAGAAGGUCCGGCUAACUUCGUGCCAGCAGCCGCGGUAAUACGAAGGGACCUAGCGUAGUUCGGAAUUACUGGGCUUAAAGAGUUCGUAGGUGGUUGAAAAAGUUGGUGGUGAAAUCCCAGAGCUUAACUCUGGAACUGCCAUCAAAACUUUUCAGCUAGAGUUUGAUAGAGGAAAGCAGAAUUUCUAGUGUAGAGGUGUAAUUCGUAGAUAUUAGAAAGAAUACCAAUUGCGAAGGCAGCUUUCUGGAUCAUUACUGACACUGAGGAACGAAAGCAUGGGUAGCGAAGAGGAUUAGAUACCCUCGUAGUCCAUGCCGUAAACGAUGUGUGUUAGACGUUGGAAAUUUAUUUUCAGUGUCGCAGCGAGAAGGCGAUAAAACACUUCCGGGUCCUU